GAGUUUGAUCGUGGCUCAGAUUGAACGCUGGCGGCAGGCCUAACACAUGCAAGUCGAGCGGAUGACGGGAGCUUGCUCCUUGAUUCAGCGGCGGACGGGUGAGUAAUGCCUAGGAAUCUGCCUGGUAGUGGGGGACAACGUUUCGAAAGGAACGCUAAUACCGCAUACGUCCUACGGGAGAAAGUAGGGGACCUUCGGGCCUUGCGCUAUCAGAUGAGCCUAGGUCGGAUUAGCUAGUUGGUGGGGUAAUGGCUCACCAAGGCGACGAUCCGUAACUGGUCUGAGAGGAUGAUCAGUCACACUGGAACUGAGACACGGUCCAGACUCCUACGGGAGGCAGCAGUGGGAAUAUUGGACAAUGGGCGAAAGCCUGAUCCAGCCAUGCCGCGUGUGUGAAGAAGGUCUUCGGAUUGUAAAGCACUUUAAGUUGGAGGAAGGCAGUAAGUUAAUACCUUGCUGUUUUGACGUUACCGACAGAAUAAGCACCGGCUAACUCUGUGCCAGCCGCGC
rnacentral:rRNA from 1 species